rnacentral:lncRNA from 1 species
CCGAAACAGCCACAACUCAAGGGUCUGAGACCCGGGGACAUGUUCUCGGCUGAGCUGGACAUUGCAUGGUGCUUUUCCUCUCGAGGCAUUUGCUGACUUAUCCCUGGCACAGGGCCCAGAGGCUGGGAAACUGAGCGAAGCCUCUUGUCAUCUCACAGAUCUGGGAGGGAAAGAUUGGGUUUAGAGACCUCAAAAAACACCCAGACAUCCAGGCUAGGACCCCAGGAACACUACACACUAAGAGUAAUUAUUAAUCAGAAAUAGACAGUUCUCACAAGACUGGGCGCUCAGCUCCAUGGAUCAGCCCACAGGUCCCACAGCGGACCAGCCGCAGUUCACGAUGGAUCAGCCACAGCUCCGUGGAUCAGUCACAGGUUCACAGCGGAUCAGCCACAGGUUCACACGGAUCAGCCACAGCUCACACGGAUCAGCCACAGGUUCACAUGGAUCAGCCACAGGUUCACACGGAUCAGCCACAGGUUCACACAGAUCAGCCACAGCUCCAUGCGGACGCAUCAGCCACAGGUUCACGUGGAUCAGCCACAGCUCCACAUGGAUCAGUCACAGGUUCACACGGAUCAGCCACAGGUUCUCAUGGAUCAGCCACAGCUCCACACGCAUCAGCCACAGGUUCACACGGAUCAGCCACAGAUCCACACACAUCACAGGUUCACACGGAUCAGCCACAGGUUCACACAGAUCAGCCACAGCUCCACACGCAUCAGCCACAGGUUCACAUGGAUCAGCCACAGGUUCACACAGAUCAGCCACAGGUCCACGUGGAUCAGCCACAGGUCCACGCAGGUCAGCCACAGGUUCACACAGAUCAGCCACAGGUUCACGCAGAUCGGCCACAGGCUCACGUGGGUCAGCCACAGGUCCACGCACAUCAGCCACAUGUUCAGACGGAUCAGCCACAGGUUCUCGCGCAUCAGCCACAGGUUCACAUGGAUCAGCCACAGGUUCAUGCGGGUCAGCCUCAGGUUCACGUGCAUCAGCCACAGGUUCACGCACAUCAGCCACAUGUUCUGGAUCAGCCACAGGUCCACACACAUCAGCCACAGGUUCACAUGGACCAGCCACAGGUUCACGCGGGUCAGCCUCAGGUCCACGUGGAUCAGCCACGGGCUGCUCAUCUAGCUGCCCCCAUAAGCAAAGGUAAAUCUUCUCUAGAAGAA